UAGCAGAGCAAGCCACGAACUGCAGUAAGCACACGAACACACUAAGAACACAAGCAAGGCCUUUUGCACACUCACUACCAUUGUAUACGUAACAACCCACUGUAAAAAUUUAAUUGUAAAAUUACGAAUUUACCCGUGUGUUGGGUUUUUUUCAAAUUGGUCCAGUUCUUUGGGCUGUGUGUCAACAAGCCCAAAACCCAACCCAUUAUUCCUUCCCUCUCCCGUGAUCCCCCACCAUCUGAACACUCUCUCUUCUUCCUAAUUCUUUUUUGCAUUCACUCUCUAUCUCCGAGAAUGUAGAUUUUCUGGUUUAAAGUUUCAAUGUGUAUUUCAUGUAUUUUUGUACAAGAGUGAGUUCGGGUAUAUAUGAGAAGAGAGAGGAAAAAGAGAUGGAAAAGAUGGUUGCAGCAAGCAGACGACAAGAAAGAAGAAGGCAUGUUGCCUACCUAAUCUAAACCUUACACAAAGACAUUACCUCAAUCAAUCUCCUCCCUUAAAUCAAGGGAAAGGUGAUUUACAUACCCUUACCCUAAAGAUUACAAUGAAUCUUACCCUAGAGAUUUACCCUAGAGUCACCUUGGUAGUAAACUCCAUAUGCAGCAUCAGUAGAUGCAACAUGCUGCAUCAGUCAUAUGCAGCAUCACAACAGAGAAGGACCAAACCAACUUCUAGAAACUUGAACUUCGAAUCUUUAGGACCUAGGGAACUCACCUGUGAGGUUACAUGUGGCAUUUGAGCACUUUUACGUACUCUGCCAUUGACACCGAGCUCGAACUCUCUUGAAUUGUCAUCGCAGAUUUCGACGGUGAACCCGUGGUUUUUCCGGCGAGUUUAAGGGUGUUGACAAUCGAAAUCAAUUGGACACGACCCUAGAAUCCGGCGAGGAAACCCAACGGGUUCCAAUUCACGCAUUACGUAUCGCAAAAAGGUUUCCGAUUAGAGCGGAGGAACGGAGUUCCUAUUUGCAUGGUUUCGUGACGAAUCCCCGCCAAUUCUGACACGCUCAAUCUCGUUCGUGUUCUAAAAUUGGUGCACCGGUGGAAGGUGAUCCAGUCUUCCCUAGUUCGAGCGGUUCCCUAAGAGUGAAGUACUUGUGAGUAUUUUAUAAUUAACCAUCUAGCAUGCAAAUUCAUAUUACCUAAUUUGAAUACGUUUUAUAUUAUACUUUGCUUUACGGAUUUCUAUAUUAUGAUUUAGGGUAAAGUACAAAAAAUUACCUCAAUUAUUGGUGUCACGAUUUUUUCAUACCUCAUCUUUUCAUACCUCAUCUUUUAAAAUUGACUAUGUUAUACCUCAUCUUACGAAUUUGUGUCAAUGUUACACAUUCCGUUAGUUUGGCGUUCUCAGUUAAAUAUUGACGUGGCUUGAUUCAGGGCUCACUUUCUAUUAAAAAAAUUAUUAAAAACUAAAAAAAAUUUAUUUAAUAAUUUUUAAAUAUUAAAAAAAAAAAAAAAAAAAAAAAAAAACCCCUC